GGCCGUGACGAUAACGGUCUUUCUUCUUUCCCAGUCCGAUUCGACCAUGACGAUAUGGGGUUCUACCACGCGACGCAGCCGGUUUACCGGCUGUAUUCGCUUUUCUUGCCAGUGGCUCGCCCUUCAAAAAGGCGAGCUACUAUAUUCAAGUGUCCGAGCC
rnacentral:snoRNA from 1 species